ACGUUUAUCGAUUUUACCAUUUAUUAACACAUUUAUAAAAUUCUUAGUAGUGCAAAGCAAACAUCACUUAAGCUUAAAUAACAACAUCGAAUCAACUAAUCAUCCUCAUUCCUCAUUUUACUCUUCAAGUGUGAAUUUAGUAUUUCAUUUUCUUUCCACAUCCAUUUCCUACGAAUAUCACACAAAACAAUAACAUAUCAAAUAUAAUUCACAAUUUGUAUUACCAACAUGAGUUACCCCAUAUACCAUUCAUGGCCUUACUUCAUACCAAAUCAUAUACCAAAUAUACCAUACAUACAUACUAUGAAACUUUAUUUUCUCACAUGAUCCAUAACUAAUAAUGCACAAUUAUAAACAUCAUUUCUUUUCAAUCGUUUGUCGAUUAUAAACGAGCAUAUAACCAAUUAUACACAAAUCAUUCAUAUGUUCUUCCAAUUUUCCUCCUCCCCCUCUCCAUUCCACAUCCUUAAUGUGUAUAACACACUUAAACAACAUUAACUACAAUUUCACUAUUCACUCACAUGUAUAUUCAAAGCUGUCUAUUCAAGUUAGAGUCACUAAAUUAUUUUUAUCUGGAGCUACAAAGCUCCAAAUUAAGAUCCGUAAAUUUUCCCUGAAACUAGACUCACAUAUAUUCUUACGAUAAAAUUUUCAGAAUUUUUAGUUUGGCCAAAUAGUAAAUUUUAUUCUUUAAAGAUUCCCCUGUUUCACUAUUCGACAGCUCUGACCCCUCUUCACUAAAAGUUAAUUAUCUCUUUGUAUAGAAUUCAAAUGAUGCUCCCGUUUAUUUCUAUUGAAAAUAGACUCAUUGAGAAAUUCAACCGUGUAAAUUUCAGACCAUAAAUAUUUUUGUACAAUUUUUAGUGAUUUUCCAAAGUCAGAACAGGGGAUUUCAAAAUCAUUCUGACCCAGUCUCACUAAAAUUCCAAUAUCUAAAAAUAUAUAACUUCUUUGGCCAUUCUUUCUAUUUUAUGUGAAAGUAAACUCAUUAAGAUUUAAUUUCAUGUCUUAUUCAACCACUAACUCAAUUUCUAUAAUUUUUGGUGAUUUUUCAAACUAACAUCACUGUCACUGUCCAAAUCUAUUCUAUUCCAACAUCCCUCAUUCACAUAGCACUAUAACCAUUUAUUUUAUAACACAAUACAAGACUUCAUCACUUCAGUCACUCUUUCGCAACUUAUCACGUUCCAAUCACAUACUCAUAUCUCACUGAACAUGUCGGUAUAACAACAAAUAUUUGGGGUUUUUCACACAGUACUACCCAUGUUACUUUUAUCAUUCAAUACACGUAGUAGCCUCCACAUAGUACUACACACGUGAUCAAGUUUUACGGUUCACGUAGUAGCCUUCACAUAGUACUACACACGUGACCAAAACUUUUCGAUACACAUAGUAGCCUUCACUUAGUACUACACAUGUGACCAUUAUUUAUCGAUACACGUAGUAGCCUUCACACAGUACUACACACGUGUUCAUCGAUACCUUAUUCAAAUCUUUACCAUUUCGACAGUUCCACAAAGACUCUUACUUUCCAAUAAUUUACAAUUUCUCCAUAUCACAUCAUAAUAUCAACUUUCCACUCCACUCCAUAACCAAAUUAAUAAUUCGAUUUAAAUCACUUCAACCAUUACUUGCAGUUGGUAUAUUCAUAAACCAAGCUGAUUUUAAACAAAUCAACUAUCAAUUUCAAAUUUCUAACUUUAAUAUAACUAUUUCAUAUCCAACCCUUUCGCAUAUAUUGUCACGAAAUAUAACAAAAAUAAUUAUAAUAAUUUAUUAAUUACAUACAACUUACUUUGGUGCAACAAUAUAGAAAUUUAGCAAUUUAGUCUUUAAUCUUUUCUUUUAUCCAAUCAAGGUCGAUUCCACUUCUUUCUUGAAAUAUAAUAACACAUUUGACUUAUUUAACAUGCACAUUCAUCAAAAUAAUCCUUAACUCAAACUUUGGCAAAAUUAUAAUUUUGCCCCUAAACUUUUGCAUAUUUACACUUUUGCCCCAACGCUCGGAAAUUAAAAUUCAUCUCUUAUUCUUAUGUUUUAUUACAUACUGAACAUUUUUCCCUUCUAUGGCAAUGUCAAAUUCCCACUCUAACACUUAUUUAUGAACAUUAGGUAUUUUUACCGAUUAUGUCUUUUACUCGUUUUCACUUAAAAUCGCUUAGCAAAAGUUGUUUAACAUAAUUUCUAGCUUUAUAAUCUAUCAUAAAACAUCAAAAUAAACACAUUUCACCUAUGGGUAUUUUUCCAAAUAUAAACCCUAGGUUAAAUUAUUGCUAGAAUAAGCAAAAUCAAGUUACCGAGACUCCAAAAACGUAAAUAACAUUAAAAACGGGGCUUAGAAUCACUUACUAUGGAGCUUGGAAGCUUGAAAACCCUAAAAAUGGCUUCCCCCCUUGCUGAUUU
rnacentral:lncRNA from 1 species